GCAAGAGAGAGGCCAAAACAAACCCCGCCGCGAGUCCAUAUUUCUACCUUUUACCCGUGUUUUACGCCGCCAAGAUGAGCGAGACGAGUGCCGUGGUGAAGCCACUCCGCGCCGUCUGUGCUCUGAAGAACAGAAGAAAGGAAGGAAGGCCAUCUUGGAAGACUCCAGGACCAGUCACCCCAGUCCAAGGAAAGGUCGCAAGAGGUCAAGGAGGUCACAGUACGAAGGAGCAGUCCAGUCCGUUGUAAAGUUACUGGAAAAGGAAGGAAAGGGAUAGGAAAGGAAAUGAAAGGAAAGGGAAGGGAGGGGAAGGAACAGAGAAGUAUAUACAUAGUUAAGCUUAAAGUCACAUACAGUUAGAUACAUACAGUUAGAUACAUACAGUUGCACUCACAUAGAUUUACAUACAGUUUUGAUGGUGCGUUUGACGAAGGCGGUUGACUCAGUGGGUAGCGGAUUGGCCGGGCCCAUGGUGUUAUGGACGCUCUCAACACAAAUACAGUAAACCCUCAAUAUAACGGACUAGUUUAUUUAUUUUUUAUUUAUUUAUUUAUUUUUUCACAUCAGAGGACACGUCUCAAGGGCAAUAAAGAGUCCCAAAAAAAGCCCGCUACUCGCCGCUCUCUCUCUCUUUUAUCGGUAAAUUUCUUCUGCUCUUUCAUUAUUUAUUUUCCUUCUCUCAUCUCUCUCCUUCCCUUACCUCCUCUCUCUCUUAUUCUUCUCAUUACGUUCUCUGUCUCUCCCUCUUCCUCUCUCAUAGGAAUAUAACACACAAACAUUACAAAUUAACUUUUUAUUAAUAGAAAAACACACAUACAUACAUACACAUAGUAACAUUGAUAAGGCUAUGUUGGCUAGGUGGGGAGGGAGGGAGGAGGGGGUCCUUCAUGAGGCUGGGGGGGGGUAUGUGUCUGUGGGGGGUUGUCAACAUACUGUGGGGUCCUGUGAGCUGUGGUGAGAGAGAGAGAGAGAGAGAGAGAGAGAGAGAGAGAGAGAGAGAGAGAGAGAGAGAGAGGGAGGG